rnacentral:miRNA from 15 species
ACAUACUUCUUUAGAAUUCCAUA